rnacentral:rRNA from 1 species
GCGGCAGGCCUAACACAUGCAAGUCGAGCGCGAAAACACUUCGGUGUGAGUAGAGCGGCGGACGGGUGAGUAAUGCUUGGGAAUCUGCCCAGUAGUGGGGGAUAACGUGUGGAAACGCACGCUAAUACCGCAUACCUCCUACGGGAGAAAGCAGGGGAUCUUCGGACCUUGCGCUAUUGGAUGAGCCCAAGUCGGAUUAGCUAGUUGGUGGGGUAAUGGCCUACCAAGGCGACGAUCCGUAGCUGGUCUGAGAGGAUGAUCAGCCACACUGGGACUGAGACACGGCCCAGACUCCUACGGGAGGCAGCAGUGGGGAAUAUUGCACAAUGGGCGAAAGCCUGAUGCAGCCAUGCCGCGUGUGUGAAGAAGGCUCUAGGGUUGUAAAGCACUUUCAGUAGGGAGGAAAAGCUUAAGGUUAAUAACCUUGAGCCCUGACGUUACCUACAGAAGAAGCACCGGCAAACUCCGUGCCAGCAGCCGCGGUAAUACGGAGGGUGCGAGCGUUAAUCGGAAUUACUGGGCGUAAAGCGCGCGUAGGUGGUUUGAUAAGCUAGCUGUGAAAGCCCCGGGCUCAACCUGGGAACUGCAGUUAGAACUGUCUGGCUAGAGUACAGUAGAGGGUGGCGGAAUUUCCUGUGUAGCGGUGAAAUGCGUAGAUAUAGGAAGGAACAUCAGUGGCGAAGGCGGCCACCUGGACUGAUACUGACACUGAGUGCGAAAGAUUCA